UACGUAGGGGGCGAGCGUUGUCCGGAGUUACUGGGCAUAAAGCGCUUGUAGGCGGUCCACCAAGUUUGGGGUGACAGUUGCCGACUUAAUCGGCAAAGUGCCUCAAAGACUGGCGGACUUGAGGGCCACAGAGGGACAUGGAACUCCAGGUGUAGUGGUGAAAUGCGUAGAUAUCUGGAAGAACACCAAAGGCGAAGGCAGUGUCCUGGGUGGUCGCUGACGCUGAGAGGCGAAAGCGUGGGGAUCAAACAGG
rnacentral:rRNA from 1 species